GAUGAACGCUGGCGGUAUGCUUAACACAUGCAAGUCGAACGGACUCUUCGGAGUUGGUGGCGGACGGGUGAGUAACGCGGGAGAAUGUGGCGUUGGGUUCGGGACAACCACUGGAAACGGAGGCUAAUACCGGAGGUGCCGAGAGGUAAAAGAGAAAUUGCCUGCAGAUGAGCUCGCGUCUGAUUAGCUAGUUGGUGAGGUAAAGGCUCACCAAGCCAGCGAUCAGUAGCUCGUCUGAGGGGAUGACCAGCCACACUGAGACUGAGACACGGCCCAGACUACUACGAGAGGCAGCAGUGGGGAAGUUUCAGCAAGGGGCGUAAGGCUGAGGGAGCCAGACCGCGUGAGUGAAGAAUGCUCUUGGGUUGUAAUCAUCUUUUCUUAGGGACGAACAAUGUGGCUGCACCAAGGGAAACAGCCGCCUCUAACUGUG
rnacentral:rRNA from 1 species